AUAUUGGCUAAUACCACAUAUGCUCAUCUCAGCUGAAUAUCAAGCUCAAUGACGAGGAGUUUGCUGGGAAGCAGCUGAAGCCGCAUUCUACACUUUGCCUUACUAAGGUCAACAUGAUCAACAAUUUAGUAGGAAGCUAGUAAAUGGAGCUACAUUUGGCGAGCUGAUAAAAACACUUCUGCUUGGAGAUUUGAUUUGGUUCGUUACUGUGUACACCACCAGUUGGUACAUCUUCUCCGGGGAGUGGCGGCUUUUGUAGCUCUACUUUCGGCUCCACUUGUGGCUCAUUGCCUUCCAGAAUCUUGAGAACACAAGGCAUCUCGGGUCUGCAGUUUGGGUCCCGUUGUGUGCACAGGAGACCAACUUGAAUGCAUCUUAGUGCUUCGUCUACUGGAAAUGCACCUCCAAGCAUGACCAACUCGAGCAGGGCGAUGAGGCUCUCUUCAAGAACAGGAGAAGAGAGAUGAAUGGCUGAGUCAAGGAGUGUGGAGCCACUGCAAGUCAACUACAUGGCUUACAGUAAGAGAUGAGCUGUAUCUAUCUGGAACCCUCUUCAGAUAUGAGAAUUGUGUCCAAAGUGGAGUUUGAUCUUGCUGGAUGAAAAUUUCAUAGCUAAGGUGAUGUUUCGAUCAACUGCGGCUCAACCGGAGCUUCUGCAGCAUGCAACGGUCGCCAUUGGCUUGGAGACAUUCUAAUGAAUUGGCAGAAAGUUUCACCUUACGUUCCUUGUUUUCUUAGAUUUAUUACAGUGAAGUGAACUGGCUGUAACUUUGCUGGAAAGUUUCAUGUUUUGUCUAUUCAUGUAUAGUAUGUAAAACAAGUUGGUGAUCUUACUUUUUGAUAA